rnacentral:rRNA from 2 species
UGCAGAAUCCCGUGAACCAUCGAGUCUUUGAACGCAAGUUGCGCCUGAAGCCAUUAGGCUAAAGGCACGUCUGCCUGGGCGUCACGC